rnacentral:rRNA from 1 species
AUUGAACGCUGGCGGCAGGCCUAACACAUGCAAGUCGAGCGAGUGGCGGACGGGUGAGUAAUGUCUGGGAAACUGCCCGAUGGAGGGGGAUAACUACUGGAAACGGUAGCUAAUACCGCGUACCAUAGGAUGAGCCCAAGUGGGAUUAGGUAGUUGGGGAGGUAAAGGCUCACAAAGCCGACGAUCUCUAGCUGGUCUGAGAGGAGGACCAGCCACACUGGGACUGAGACACGGCCCAGACUCCUACGGGAGGCAGCAGUGGGGAAUAUUGCGCAAGGGGGGCAACCCGGACGCAGCCAUGCCGCGUGUAUGAAGAAGGCCUUAGGGUUGUAAAGUACUUUCAGCGGGGAGGCGUUACCCGCAGAAGAAGCACCGGCUAACUCCGUGCCAGCAGCCGCGGUAAUAC